UACGUAGGGUGCAAGCGUUGUCCGGAAUUAUUGGGCGUAAAGAGCUCGUAGCGGUUCUGUCGCGUCGGCUGUGAAAAACCCGGGGCUCAACCCCGGGCCUGCAGUCGAUACGGGCAGACUAGAGUGUGGUAGGGGAGACUGGAAUUCCUGGUGUAGCGGUGAAAUGCGCAGAUAUCAGGAGGAACACCGGUGGCGAAGGCGGGUCUCUGGGCCAAUAACUGACGCUGAGGAGCGAAAGCGUGGGGAGCGAACAGG
rnacentral:rRNA from 1 species